rnacentral:rRNA from 1 species
AGUGAACGCUGGCGGUAGGCCUAACACAUGCAAGUCGAACGGCAGCACAGUAAGAGCUUGCUCUUACGGGUGGCGAGUGGCGGACGGGUGAGGAAUACAUCGGAAUCUACUUUUUCGUGGGGGAUAACGUAGGGAAACUUACGCUAAUACCGCAUACGACCUACGGGUGAAAGCAGGGGAUCUUCGGACCUUGCGCGAUUGAAUAAGCCGAUGUCGGAUUAGCUAGUUGGCGGGGUAAAGGCCCACCAAGGCGACGAUCCGUAGCUGGUCUGAGAGGAUGAUCAGCCACACUGGAACUGAGACACGGUCCAGACUCCUACGGGAGGCAGCAGUGGGGAAUAUUGGACAAUGGGCGCAAGCCUGAUCCAGCCAUACCGCGUGGGUGAAGAAGGCCUUCGGGUUGUAAAGCCCUUUUGUUGGGAAAGAGAAGCAGCAGGUUAAUACCCCGCUGUUCUGACGGUACCCAAAGAAUAAGCACCGGCUAACUUCGUG